GCUCGCACAGCUUAGCUGGUAAAGCGCAGCCUUUGCAAGAUUGCGAUCGGGUGUUCGAGUCACCUUGUUCGCU
rnacentral:tRNA from 1 species